AUGGACUGUAGCCCACCAGGCUCCUCUGUCCAUGGGAUUCUCCAGGCAAGAGUACUGGAGUGGAGUGCCAUUUCUUCCUCCAGAGGAUCUUCCCCACCCAGGGAUGGAAGCCUCAUCUCUUACGUCUCCUGCAUUGGCAGGCAGAGUCUUUACCACUAGCGCCACCUGGGAAGCCCCAUUGUAUAUAUGUAGUCUAUAUUUUAUAUAUAGAGAGAGAGGAAACAGAAAGAGAGCCAUAGUCUGCUGAGUGAGAUAAGCAAUUAAACCAGCGUGACAAGAGUCUUACCACACAGUGUGACAAGAUAGCAACAUAAACUGUGAGUGUGAAAGAAGCAUGUAAAUCAGACUGGAGUGCUCAGGGUUGCCUUUUUUGUGUAUUUAAGAAAAAAAAGUGAUGCUGCUUAAACAAAGGUAACUACAGUGUAAGUUUCAUGGGGUGGAAAGUAGAUAUACAUAAUGUAAUUUUGACAUAUAGUUUUGGUUAUAAAGUUUACUCUGAGAAUUAUGUGAAUUAGGACUUCCUUGGUUGUCCAGUGGUUAAGAAUCUGCCCGCCCAUUCAGGAGACAUGGAUUCAGUCCUAUCUCGGAAGACCCCACAUGCCAAGGAGCAACUAGACCCAUGGGCCACAAGUACUGAACCUGCAAUUUAGAGCCCUCGAGCUGCAAUUUCAGUAUCCCACACACCUAGAGUCCUUGCUUCCCAGCAAGAGAAGCUACUGCAAAGAGAAGCCCGCACACCGCAACUGGAGAGUAGCCCCUGCUCUGCCCAUAACUAGAGAAAGCCUUCGCACAUCAAUGAAGACCCAGCACAGCCAAAAAUAAAUAAAUAUAGAUUUUAAAAAGGAAUUAUGUGCUUCAGUUUUAACUGCAUCACAUUCUAAAAUUCAUUUCCCAG
ensembl:lncRNA